rnacentral:rRNA from 1 species
CCUACGGGAGGCUGCAGUGGGGAAUUUUGGACAAUGGGGGAAACCCUGAUCCAGCCAUCCCGCGUGUGCGAUGAAGGCCUUCGGGUUGUAAAGCACUUUUGAAAGAGUCACGGUACCUGCAGAAUAAGCACCGGCUAACUACGUGCCAGCAGCCGCGGUAAUACGUAGGGUGCAAGCGUUAAUCGGAAUUACUGGGCGUAAAGCGUGCGCAGGCGGUUCGGAAAGAAAGAUGUGAAAUCCCAGGGCUUAACCUUGGAACUGCAUUUUUAACUACCGGGCUAGAGUAUGUCAGAGGGGGGUGGAAUUCCGCGUGUAGCAGUGAAAUGCGUAGAGAUGCGGAGGAACACCGAUGGCGAAGGCAGCCCCCUGGGAUAAACUGACGCUCAUGCACGAAAGCGUGGGGAGCAAACAGGAUUAGAUACCCUUGUAGUC